rnacentral:rRNA from 1 species
UGUCAGCAGCCGCGGUAAUACAGAGGGUGCAAGCGUUAAUCGGAUUUACUGGGCGUAAAGCGCGCGUAGGCGGCUGAUUAAGUCAAAUGUGAAAUCCCCGAGCUUAACUUGGGAAUUGCAUUCGAUACUGGUUAGCUAGAGUGUGGGAGAGGAUGGUAGAAUUCCAGGUGUAGCGGUGAAAUGCGUAGAGAUCUGGAGGAAUACCGAUGGCGAAGGCAGCCAUCUGGCCUAACACUGACACUGAGGUUCGAAAGCGUGGGUAGCAAACAGGAUUAGAUACCCCUGUAGUCC